rnacentral:lncRNA from 1 species
GGGUAAUCAGGUUGUCCCACGUGAGGCUCACAGUCUUAAUCCCCAUUUUACAGACGAGGUCACUGAGGCACAGAGAGGUCAAGCGACUUGCCCACAGUCACACAGCCGCCAAGUGGCAGAGCCAGGAUUCGAACCCAUGACCUCUGACUUCCAAGCCCGGGCUCUUUCCACUGAGCCACGCUGUACUGAGCGCUCGGGAGGUACUAUUCAGCAACAAAAAGGGACAACCCCUGCCCACAGCGGGAUCACAGUCUAGAAGGGGGAGACAGACAUUAAAACUAGUAAACGGGCAUCAGCGGCAGCAUUAUAAAUAAAUCGAAUUAUAGAUAUAUGCACAUCAUUCAUAAAAAUAAAUCAUAUUAUAAUCAUAAAUAUGUACACGUAUACACAAGCGCUGUGGGGAGGGGACACGUUCCCGGCCCAUGACGACCUCUCAGUAUCGAAUAGUUUCAUCCAAUGUAUUCAUUCCCCUCCCGUAGGAAUCUCUUCGGAGUAUUUCGUCUUGGAUGAUCGGAAUCCAAAGGUGGAUGGGCGCGAUGGAGGGACGGCUGCCUUUCACUCAGUGACCUCGGUGGCCAACCAUCCUCGCCAGCUGGCCGCUGGAUCAACUUCCUCCCCUGCAGCUGAUGUGUCUGUGUUGUACAGGUCGUGCCAUUCAGCACACUGUUCUAAAUUCAGGAUUGGUUUCUGCAGGUCGAGGCCGACGAAGAGAUGGAUUUCUAAAAGGAAAAUUAUUUUUCCCACCUCGGGGGUAGAGAAGAAUCUUCAGGGAGUUGCUGAGGAAAUAUAGAUGCUGUGAGAUUCAAGACACUAGACGGCAUCCUGCACAUUCCUCAAGUGACAGUUGGAACAAGAGAAGCAAAUCCUUUAGGACGUCUCUUUAAUAUACUCCGAGUAAAUGUUUUAUUGUAUCGGAUUAUGUGAAUUAGAUGAGCAAAGAAUCCAUACUGUAUUUUCCGAGGCAAUAUUUUUGGAAUCACAAAUUGUAUUGAAAUUUUUAUGCUAAGAAAAUAAGAGCAAAG